GACGUAGGUGGCGAACGUUAUCCGGAAUUAUUGGGCGUAAAGGGUGCGUAGGUGGCCUGACAAGUUAUCAGUGGCAAAUCGAGGCUCAACCUCGUGGAAACUGGUAAUACUGUUCGGCUUGAGUACAGGAGAGGUUAACGGAACUCUAUGUGGAGCGGUAAAAUGCACAGAUAUAUGGAAGAACAUCAAUAAAGGCGAAGGCAGUUAACUAUUCUGUUACUGACGCUGAGGCACGAAAGCGUGGGGGAGCAAAACGG
rnacentral:rRNA from 1 species